CGGAAGCGUUUUCCUCAAAUUUGCUAUAAUAAUAUUUCAGCAAGUGUAUAUAGCAGUUGAUUCUCUUUACAUAAGCCUACAGUCAUUCAGUACAGUUAAAUUUUGUUGUCCUUUCUCCGUCUCUUUCUCUCUGAUAGUCUCGAACAUCUCAGAGCGGUAAUCAAUCCUGGUUUCUGUGCCAAGACCUGCGACUCUCCUCUCUUUCAGACAGCAGCUGAACUCCACAUCCAAACACUGAUGGAGCACAUGAAACCUCAGCAGUCGCAACUUGCUGCAAUGGUCAACAGCCUAGAUGGGAGGAUGGAGAACAACUUGCCCCAACCCGAAGAUGACCUAGAACAGUGUCUACAGGACGGCAGAAAUGCCAGGAUCAAAACACAACAUGGGACUCCUGAGAAAAGCAGCAAACCAGGCUGUCGUCUUGUGAAACAGUGGAUGUAAAUAAUCUAGCUAGCUAAAGCAUUUACUACAAAUUGAAUGUACAAUGAUGUAAGCUUGCCUUGCAAUGCAGCUCAAGUAACAUAGCUAGCUAACUACUUGCUUAUUGUGUAGUGGAGGAUAAAAAUAACUGUAUGCCUAUGGAUGUGUAGCUAGCUACAGUAUGUAGCCAAUCUGUGAAAGGACCCUAAAACGUUUGGUAUGAGUAUUAGUUCAGAACCCAUCUAUCUAUGAACCUCAGCUAUCAUAGUGGUUGUAUCAACUUCAAGUCUGAAUGGCAUUAAUGAUGCCUAUGGAUAGAGUAAAAUAUUAUAACUUUAUGCCCAAGGAUGCAAGUCCUAUAUACAUGUACUGUAGUUAUUACCACCCACAUUGUAGCCUGUACAUUGAGUAUAUUCACUGAUCAUGUACUCUUCCUUGGCAAAUAAAGGUGCGGUUCAG
ensembl:lncRNA